rnacentral:rRNA from 1 species
GAAGGAUCAUUAGUGAUUUGAGCUCCGGCUCUUCAUUUUCCAAACACCUGUGCACCGUGGUCUCCGGACCUACAAACAAUAGUGUAACGAACGUAAUAAAUUAUAAUCAAUAAAACUUUUAACAACGGAUCUCUUGGCUCUCGCAUCGAUGAAGAACGCAGCGAAAUGCGAUAAGUAAUGUGAAUUGCAGAAUUCAGUGAAUCAUCGAAUCUUUGAACGCACCUUGCGCCCUUUGGUAUUCCGAAGGGCAUGCCUGUUUGAGUGUCAUGAAAUCAUCAAUCUCUAAGGUUUCUUAUUGAUUGGAUUUGGGCGUUGCCACUGGCUCGCCUUAAAAGUGUUAGCGACACGGAUGUGAAAUCUAGCGUAAUAAGUUUCGUUAGACAGCAACUGACGUUCGCUUCUAAUCGUCUUCGGACAAUCUUUUGACUCUGACCUCAAAUCAGGUAGGACUACCCGCUGAACUUAAGCAU